rnacentral:rRNA from 1 species
ACGAACGCUGGCGGCACGCUUAACACAUGCAAGUCGAACGAGAGAAGAGAAGCUUGCUUUUCUGAUCUAGUGGCGGACGGGUGAGUAACACGUGAGCAAUCUGCCUUUCAGAGGGGGAUACCGAUUGGAAACGAUCGUUAAUACCGCAUAACAUAAUUGAACCGCAUGAUUUGAUUAUCAAAGAUUUAUCGCUGAAAGAUGAGCUCGCGUCUGAUUAGCUAGUUGGUAAGGUAACGGCUUACCAAGGCGACGAUCAGUAGCCGGACUGAGAGGUUGAUCGGCCACAUUGGGACUGAGACACGGCCCAGACUCCUACGGGAGGCAGCAGUGGGGAAUAUUGCACAAUGGAGGAAACUCUGAUGCAGCGAUGCCGCGUGAGGGAAGAAGGUUUUAGGAUUGUAAACCUCUGUCUUCAGGGACGAAAAAAGACGGUACCUGAGGAGGAAGCUCCGGCUAACUACGUGCCAGCAGCCGCGGUAAUACGUAGGGAGCGAGCGUUGUCCGGAAUUACUGGGUGUAAAGGGAGCGUAGGCGGGAUCGCAAGUCAGAUGUGAAAACUAUGGGCUUAACCCAUAAACUGCAUUUGAAACUGUGGUUCUUGAGUGAAGUAGAGGUAAGCGGAAUUCCUAGUGUAGCGGUGAAAUGCGUAGAUAUUAGGAGGAACAUCAGUGGCGAAGGCGGCUUACUGGGCUUUAACUGACGCUGAGGCUCGAAAGCGUGGGGAGCAAACAGGAUUAGAUACCCUGGUAGUCCACGCCGUAAACGAUGAUUACUAGGUGUGGGGGGACUGACCCCUUCCGUGCCGCAGCAAACGCAAUAAGUAAUCCACCUGGGGAGUACGACCGCAAGGUUGAAACUCAAAGGAAUUGACGGGGGCCCGCACAAGCAGUGGAGUAUGUGGAUUAAUUCGAAGCAACGCGAAGAACCUUACCAGGUCUUGACAUCGUAUGCAUAGCUCAGAGAUGAGUGAAAUCUCUUCGGAGACAUAUAGACAGGUGGUGCAUGGUUGUCGUCAGCUCGUGUCGUGAGAUGUUGGGUUAAGUCCCGCAACGAGCGCAACCCUUACUGUUAGUUGCUACGCAAGAGCACUCUAGCAGGACUGCCGUUGACAAAACGGAGGAAGGUGGGGAUGACGUCAAAUCAUCAUGCCCCUUAUGACCUGGGCCUCACACGUACUACAAUGGCUGUUAACAGAGGGAUGCAAAGCCGCGAGGUGGAGCGAACCCCUAAAAGCAGUCUUAGUUCGGAUUGUAGGCUGCAACCCGCCUACAUGAAGUCGGAAUUGCUAGUAAUCGCAGAUCAGCAUGCUGCGGUGAAUACGUUCCCGGGCCUUGUACACACCGCCCGUCACGCCAUGGGAGUCGGUAACACCCGAAGCCUGUAGUCUAUCCGCAAGGAGGACGCAGUCGAAGGUGGGAUUGAUGACUGGGGUG